UAAAACACAACCAACACCACCAGAUCACCUUUUCUAUUUGUUCAUCUGGCUGCUAUAACUCACAUACAGCAGCCAAACAAAAUCUAAAGUUAAUGAUUUAAGGGUCAAGAGCCCAACUAAACCAAACACUGAUCUCCAUAAUGGUGACUUAAAAAUUACGGUUUUCUCCUUCAGAGAUUCUGCUUGUUAACAUCAGGUGUCUUCAAUAAUGCUCAAUCAUCACUCAAUUAUUAACUUAAUUAUCUCAUUAACUUUAACACUGCUUCAGUGUUCAUUUAACACUCUGCUCAGAGUUUAUAUAAUUCACACUCUCAGUUGUUCAUUUAACACUCUGCUCAGAGUUUAUAUAAUUCACACUUCUCAGUGUUAAUUUAACACUGGGGAUUUUGC